UCAACCUCCCCACACUACUUUUUACAGAAGCGUAGUUCUCUUCUUCGGGUGAGGAUACAGCUGAGAGGAUCGGUCCGCCGAUGGGAUCCGAUGGAAGUCAGACUUUGCUAACCAUCUUAGCUUUGGCUGUAGCACGAGUGUUACAAGUCUGUAAUUUUUGCCCCACGAACUCGAGGAGGAGUAAGGACUUGGAGUCGAGCUGGAGAACGGAAGAUGGGUAUGGAGAAGAGAAGGAGGCGUUGAGGAGGGACUCGGCGUCAACCUCGAGAACCGACCAUGCGUCCGGCGAAGAGUACGAUGUGUUCCUGAGCUUCCGGGGACCGGAUACCCGCAACGGAUUCACCAAUUGCCUCUUCCAUCGCUUGAGAGAUGCUGGAAUCCGUGUUUUCCUGGACAACGAAGAGCUCCAAAUGGGCAAAGAAAUCGCAGGGGAGCUUUUGGAUGCACACGACAGGUCUCGAAUCUACAUACCUAUCUUCUCUAAGGGUUACGCCGACAGUGCGUGGUGUCUCCGCGAGGUUGCGCACAUGGUACGGUGCACCUCGACUUCAGAUGGGAAGAAGGAGAUAAUUCCCAUCUUCUACGACGUGGAUUCUAACGAUGUUAAGCUCAAAACCAAGUUGUAUACAAAAGCCAUGCGCCAGCACAGGACGAAGUUUGGCUCCGAUGAAGUGAAGCAGUGGGAAAAUGCCCUUCUUGAGGUUGCACGUAUAAAGGGAUGGGAUCUUAAAGGCAAAGGUAGCCAAGGAGAACAAAUUGAAGCGAUUGUUGAAGAGGUUUCUCGUAAGCUUAAUACAAGACACAUGAUUGUGACUGAACAUUUGGUUGAAGAUACUGCUCAAAUGGAAGUCAUAAUGAAAUUGUUGGAGGUUGGCUCUGGUGGUGUACGUUAUGUUGGUGUCCAUGGCAUGGGUGGUGUUGGAAAAACAACUCUUGCCAAAGUCAUGUUCAACAAACUAUCUUUUCACUUUGAACGUUGUAGUUUCAUUCAAGACGUUCGAGCAUCAUCGCAAUCUCAUGGUGGCCUUAUAGAAUUGCAGAAAAAGCUCUUGUCGGAUUUGGUCGGUCAUGGGAUUGCUAACCAAACUAAAGAUGUUGAUGGUGGGAUCCAGAUGAUCAAAAAGGCAUUAAGUACUAAAAAAGUACUCAUUGUUCUCGAUGAUCUAGACAAGAAAGAGCAACUCGAAAAACUUGCCGGAAAAUCUGAUUGGUUUUGUUCUGGUAGCGGAAUCAUUAUCACAACUAGGGACGAAAGCAUCCUAAUGACUCAAGUGGGCUCAUCCGGUGAAAAGGUCCUCAACAUACCCAAAGGAAUUUUGCGUUAUGAAGUUCAUGAAAUGAGAUUUGAUUUAGCUCUUCGGUUGUUUUAUAAGCAUGCAUUCAGAAGUGAUUCUACUGUGGAAGAAUAUGAAGCUCUUUCAAGAGAAAUUGUUCGUGCAGUGGGCAUGCUUCCUUUGGCUGUAGCUGUGAUAGGGUCCAAUCUUUUUGACUGGGGCAAAGAUUUGGGGCAUUUGGAGAAAAUAGAAGUAUGGGAUGAGACGCUGAAGAAGUUAAAGGAAGGUCCUUUUGAGGAUGUCCGAGAUACAUUAAUGAUAAGUUAUGAACGAUUAGAGGAUAAGCAACGAGAAGUUUUUCUCGAUAUAGCAUGCUUUUUCAUCAAUGCAGACAGAACUUAUCCGGUUAUCAUGUGGAAGGAUUGUGGAUACCUUCCUAGCAUUGCGAUGAGGGUUCUCUCUCAAAGGUCAUUGAUCAAAAUUACACAUGAUAAUAGGUUUUGGAUGCACGACCAAGUUCGAGACUUUGGAAGGGACAUUGUGCUUCGAGUAUAUCCUCGCAAGUUUUGUAGGGUGUGGAUUCGUGAUGAUGCCCUGAAACUACUGGAGGGAAAAAAGAGAAGUGAAAAUGUUGAAGCGCUAUGCCUGGAUUCCGAUGGCUACAGCCGCAGCCUUGCAUCUAAAGAAUUAGCUGCUCUACCAAAUCUGAGGUUCCUUCGAGUGAAAGGCAUUGAUUUUUUUGGUAACUUCAAGAAUCUUCUUUCGGAGCUAAGAUGGUUUUCUUGGGAAGUUUCGCAUAAGGAAUUCUAUGCGGAGAGUUUUCAUUUUGCUAGUUUGGUCGUGGUGGACCUCUCAAAGAGCGAUAUCGAAGAUGACUGGGGUGGGUGGAGCCAAAUCCAGAUGAUAAAAAAAUUAAAGGUUCCGGAUUUAACAGAUUGCACAAAGUUGAGGAAGACACCCGACUUCUCUAAUUUCACGUCUUUGGAGACAUUAUUACUUGUUCGGUGUUCCAAUUUAGUCACAAUUCACCCCUCCAUUUCUAAGCUUCAACUCUUAGAGACUUUGAAUGUCAAAGGAUGCAGUUCCCUUGGGGAGUUGCCUGAAGAAGUUUGUUCUCUACAAUCACCGAAGGAGAUCGUCAUGCCCCAAAAUUUUCAACCCUUGAAGCUUCCAGAGAGAUUUGGCAAUUUGAAAUCUUUGUCGAGUUUUACAUUAAGCAAGAACCCAAAAAUCUGCCGACUUCCGGACUCAAUUGGAGGGGCAGCAAAUCUCACAUGCAUAACUUUACGCGGGUGCGUGGGGAUAAAGGAGCUUCCAACCUCAAUUGGGGAGUUAAAAACGUUGGUGGAGUUGGAUGUAUCAUCGUCGGGCUUAGUUGAACUACCCGAUUCUAUCGGAAACUUAAAGAAACUAAGGGUGUUGAGCUUAUGUAGAACGAAGAUAAAGGAGAUUCCCCAUACUAUUGGAGGACUAGAGAUGCUUGAAGGUUUGUAUGCCAACAAAUCCUUGGAUCCGAUCGAUAAAAACUUGGAGGAAAUUGGGAAGCUACUCCAUUUGAAGAAAUUGAACUUAGCAUAUACUAGUGUUUCUAGAUUGCCUCCAGAGAUAAGUCGUCUCCGUCUCCAAAAACUUGAAGUGGGUUCGAUUGAGCUUCAACAAGUGCCGGCUCUUCCAUCAAGUUUGAAAUUCCUUGCGGUUCAAGCUAUGGACUUCUCUCUUGUCCCCGACCCCUCAAGCAUCACCGAUUUGGAACAUCUGGAUUUACAUAGAUACAGCAGUUUGAGAAAUAGAUAUCACUCUACUAGGCGGGACUAUGACUCAAAACUUCAAGCAGCUUUGAUGAGGGAGCAACCAUCCUAUCGGCUUCCAUCUCAUUUGUCGGUCUUGAAACUCAAAAGUAUUAGUCCACCGCCACAUUUUUCCAACUUAGUAAAUUUGAUAGUUCCGCAUGUGACUGAAUGUCCAAUAUCACACCUACCCGUCACUCCAGGUCUAAUUCAUUUGAGGGAACUGAGCAUAACAAGAUGUGAAUCCCUUGAGGAAAUAUCCAGUCUGCCACUCUUGAAGAGUCCGGAGCGCUUGGAACCGAAGGGCUUGAAGAGGCUAGUUGAGAUACGAGGUUUGUCGGAAUUGGAAUCUUUGCGGUACUUCCUUCUUUCCAGUUGUGACAUAAUCGGACAAUUACCCAAUUUGUCCAAGUUGGGUAAGCUACGACAUCUAGAGCUAGAAGCUUGUCCAAAAUUAAGAGCCAUUGAGGGCAUUGAGGGCUUAGAAAGCCGGGCGUUGGAUGGCCGUGGCCACACCAUCCUGGAAAGAUUGUUGAGUAUCUCCGGAUCGACUUGGCUUUCCCACAAAUUACCUAUGUACGAUCUUUUCCUGAGUUAUAAGGGACCAGAUACUCAUCAUGGCAUUGUCGACUAUCUUCACAAUGGGAUGUAUUUAGAGGGAAUUCCUGUUUAUAGUGAUAACGAUGACUUCACUUCCAAUGACGGGAUUGGGCAAGAGAUUCUACAAGCAUUCGCUAACUCCAAUAUCUACAUACCCGUCUUCUCUAGAAACUACGCCUCCGGUCAUUGGUGUCUGCGCAAACUUGGCCACAUGGUAAAGUACACGUCAGAAUCAAAGGGAAAAAAAAUAAUCCUCCCCAUUUUCGACGAUGUGGAGAUUGAUGAUGUUAAGCUCAAAACUGAUUUAUACAAGAGCGACCUAGACAGGCACCGGAUGAACUUUGAUCACAACGAGGUGAAGUCCUGGGAAGAGGCCCUAAUUGAGGUCGCAGCAAUGAGGGGUUUCAUCUUGAAAAAUACCAGCUACGAAGAAGUACUUCAGAUGGUUUUUGCAGAGAUCUUUAGAGCGAGGAGAUUGUUAGACGUCGACUCCUGAGGACUUCUUUUGGUCGGUUGUCAAAGAAAAGGUGAAUGGAUUUGCUAUCAAUCCUCCAAAAAGUAAUUGACUUGGUCACUGAAGAGGUUUCGAGAGAGCUGUUAGAUGCCCACGUGAGGAGGCCUCCAGCAGUUGAAGAUUAGUGGCUGCUGCAAGGAAGCUGCAGGAAUAUCAAGGGCGAGCCGACCUCAAAACUAAUGGGUAAUUGCUUUCAUUUCGAUCAAUUAUGACAAGAUAAGUCAUUCAGUUGAUUUAAGCACCACAUAGAAUUUUAAAGUCACUACAGUGCAGCCUUAUUCAUCCAAA